rnacentral:ncRNA from 1 species
CCGGCUCCGGUUCACCCCGGUAGGGGACCCGGCGCC